AGUUCAUGAUGUGGACAUUUUUUUAAUAAAUCUUUACAUCUCUCUCAUGCCUCAUGAAAAGAUUCAUUCUCAAAUAGAGUACAUAUGGUAAUAUAAUUCCUUAACUU